GUAGGGUGCAAGCGUUAAUCGGAAUUACUGGGCGUAAAGCGUGCGCAGGCGGUUAUGCAAGACAGAGGUGAAAUCCCCGGGCUCAACCUGGGAACUGCCUUUGUGACUGCAUGGCUAGAGUACGGUAGAGGGGGAUGGAAUUCCGCGUGUAGCAGUGAAAUGCGUAGAUAUGCGGGGGAACACCGAUGGCGAAGGCAAUCCCCUGGACCUGUACUGACGCUCAUGCACGAAAGCGUGGGGAGCAAACAGGAUUAGAUACCCUGGUAGUCCACGCCCUAAACGAUGUCAACUGGUUGUUGGGAGGGUUUCUUCUCAGUAACGUAGCUAACGCGUGAAGUUGACCGCCUGGGGAGUACGGCCGCAAGGUUG
rnacentral:rRNA from 1 species